GGGGGGGCUCGCGGCCUAUCAGCUAGUUGGGGGGGUAAUGGCCCACCAAGGCGACGACGGGUAGCUGGUCUGAGAGGAUGGCCAGCCACAUUGGGACUGAGAGACGGCCCAGACUCCUACGGGAGGCAGCAGUGGGGAAUCUUGCGCAAUGGCCGAAAGGCUGACGCAGCGACGCCGCGUGGGGGAGGAAGGCCUUCGGGUUGUAAACCCCUGUUGCCCGGGACGAAUGUGCACUUUAGAGUGCAUUGACGGUACCGGGUGAGGAAGCACCGGCUAACUCCGUGCCAGCAGCCGCGGUAAUACGGAGGGUGCAAGCGUUGUCCGGAAUCACUGGGCGUAAAGGGCGCGUAGGCGGCUCAUAAAGGCUGUGGUGAAAGUUCGGGGCUCAACCUCGAAUCGGCCGUGGCGACUUGUGGGCUGGAGCACUGUAGAGGCAGGUGGAAUUCCGGGUGUAGCGGUGGAAUGCGUAGAGAUCCGGAAGAACACCAGUGGCGAAAGCGGCCUGCUGGGCAGUGGCUGACGCUGAGGCGCGACAGCGUGGGGAGCAAACAGGAUUAGAUACCCUGGUAGUCCACGCCGUAAACGAUGGGCACUAGGUGCUUGGGGGAGCGACCCUCUGAGUGCCGGCGCUAACGCAUUAAGUGCCCCGCCUGGGGAGUACGGCCGCAAGGCUGAAACUCAAAGGAAUUGACGGAAUCGAAUUCCCGC
rnacentral:rRNA from 1 species